rnacentral:rRNA from 1 species
AGACCCGAAACCCGGUGAUCUAGCCAUGGGCAGGUUGAAGGUUGGGUAACACUAACUGGAGGACCGAACCGACUAAUGUUGAAAAAUUAGCGGAUGACCUGUGGCUGGGGGUGAAAGGCCAAUCAAACCGGGAGAUAGCUGGUUCUCCCCGAAAGCUAUUUAGGUAGCGCCUCGUGAAUUCAUCUCCGGGGGUAGAGCACUGUUUCGGCUAGGGGGCCAUCCCGGCUUACCAACCCGAUGCAAACUGCGAAUACCGGAGAAUGUUAUCACGGGAGACACACGGCGGGUGCUAACGUCCGUCGUGAAGAGGGAAACAACCCAGACCGCCAGCUAAGGUCCCAAAGUCAUGGUUAAGUGGGAAACGAUGUGGGAAGGCCCAGACAGCCAGGAUGUUGGCUUAGAAGCAGCCAUCAUUUAAAGAAAGCGUAAUAGCUCACUGGUCGAGUCGGCCUGCGCGGAAGAUGUAACGGGGCUAAACCAUGCACCGAAGCUGCGGCAGCGAACGUAUCACCCAAGACAACUUUACGGAGUUGACGAUUGACGGAGCGAAGCGACGUCAAAGCGUUCAUUAAAGUCGAGUUGGCUUAGGGAUACGUUCGUUGGGUAGGGGAGCGUUCUGUAAGCCUGUGAAGGUGUGUCGUGAGGCAUGCUGGAGGUAUCAGAAGUGCGAAUGCUGACAUAAGUAACGAUAAAGCGGGUGAAAAGCCCGCUCGCCGGAAGACCAAGGGUUCCUGUCCAACGUUAAUCGGGGCAGGGUGAGUCGACCCCUAAGGCGAGGCCGAAAGGCGUAGUCGAUGGGAAACGGGUUAAUAUUCCCGUACUUGGUGUUACUGCGAAGGGGGGACGGAGAAGGCUAUGUUGGCCGGGCGACGGUUGUCCCGGUUUAAGCGUGUAGGUGUGUGUUCCAGGUAAAUCCGGUUCACUUUAACACUGAGGCGUGAUGACGAGGCACUACGGUGCUGAAGCAACAAAUGCCCUGCUUCCAGGAAAAGCCUCUAAGCAUCAGGUAACAUCAAAUCGUACCCCAAACCGACACAGGUGGUCAGGUAGAGAAUACCAAGGCGCUUGAGAGAACUCGGGUGAAGGAACUAGGCAAAAUGGUGCCGUAACUUCGGGAGAAGGCACGCUGACACGUAGGUGAAGUGAUUUACUCAUGGAGCUGAAGUCAGUCGAAGAUACCAGCUGGCUGCAACUGUUUAUUAAAAACACAGCACUGUGCAAACACGAAAGUGGACGUAUACGGUGUGACGCCUGCCCGGUGCCGGAAGGUUAAUUGAUGGGGUCAGCGCAAGCGAAGCUCCUGAUCGAAGCCCCGGUAAACGGCGGCCGUAACUAUAACGGUCCUAAGGUAGCGAAAUUCCUUGUCGGGUAAGUUCCGACCUGCACGAAUGGCGUAAUGAUGGCCAGGCUGUCUCCACCCGAGACUCAGUGAAAUUGAACUCGCUGUGAAGAUGCAGUGUACCCGCGGCAAGACGGAAAGACCCCGUGAACCUUUACUAUAGCUUGACACUGAACAUUGAGCCUUGAUGUGUAGGAUAGGUGGGAGGCUUUGAAGUGUGGACGCCAGUCUGCAUGGAGCCGACCUUGAAAUACCACCCUUUAAUGUUUGAUGUUCUAACGUGGACCCGUAAUCCGGGUUGCGGACAGUGUCUGGUGGGUAGUUUGACUGGGGCGGUCUCCUCCUAAAGAGUAACGGAGGAGCACGAAGGUUGGCUAAUCCUGGUCGGACAUCAGGAGGUUAGUGCAAUGGCAU